AACCCCCAUCUUUAAACCCCCACCUCGUGCCAAAUUCUUUCUUAAUUAGGUCCUCUGCCUCGCUUCAUUUGCAAAUCCCCAUUUUUCACCCACCCUCCUCCCUCGAAUUUGAACUCAAUACAUUUUUUGAGGUCCGUUUUUUUCGAUUUCGAACCCAAAUUUUUGAAUUUGAUUCUUCAACAAUUGUAAUUGUUGUGCGGAAGAGUUUAGAGAUAGAAAAAAUGUUGGGCUUUUUUAUCAAAUUCGAAGUGGCUGCCUUUUUUUAGAGAAUUUUUAUCGAUUUAGUUCCUUUCUUGUGAUUUUCUUCUUCAGUUCUUUCUCAAUACGAAUUUAUCGGUAUUUUCAUAUGGGUACUUUUAAUUAGUUCAUCAAAACAAGAAUCUGAUAAAUAUGGAGUUAAUUCAACUAUCAAAGAAAUUGAUUUUGAUGGAAUAUACUGAAUUUUCUUGAAAAAAUUUUCUUAAGAAGCUGACCUUAUUGUAGGAACUUAAACGGUUUCUUUUAUAUGUAUUUGAUUGAAGCUGGUUGAUGGAUAAUAGUGGAAAAAAUAGAGGAACAAGAAGAAAUGGAGUGGUAGGGUGUGGGGGAAGAAGAAGGGGUGUGACUGAAAAUAAAGAAAUGAGCCCGACUUAUUUUUUUAUUUUUUCUUCUUUUGGUUUUUACACGCGGAGCUUAAUUAAAAAAUUUCACGCCAGCUGUUGGAGUUGUAUAAAAUUCACUUGUUUUGGGGGGGGGAAGAAUCAUUAGUAAAGUUAAGUGUUAAAGUGAAUUUUUGUG
rnacentral:lncRNA from 1 species